rnacentral:misc_RNA from 1 species
AAGUCGUAACAAGGUUUCCGUAGGUGAACCUGCGGAAGGAUCAUUAACACGUUAUCCACGUAUCUACCUCUUGCGAACUUUUUAUCGUUUAGGAGUCGGCAGACCAGCGUAGAUGAUGGAGGUAGAUGUUACUAUGUCCAGUGGCCGACGCCCUGGUUCUACCUGCCUAGCCAAUGUCCCCCCCGCAUCGUCGAGUAUCUUUUUUUUAAAUGUGGUGUAAAAAAAGAGAAAGAGAGUGCGGGUCGUGGCUUGGGUAUUCUGGUUCAUAUGACUCGAAUCAUAGUAGUUUAUAAUCUUAUUCACCCUUUUUUACUAAAUUUGUUGAAUUGUGAUGGUCUCGGAGGUAACACUUCGUAGCACUCACGUAAAUAAAACACUAUACAACUCUUAGCAACGGAUAUCUCGGUUCU